rnacentral:rRNA from 1 species
UACGUAGGUGGCAAGCGUUAUCCGGAUUUACUGGGUGUAAAGGGCGUGUAGGCGGGAUGGUAAGUCAGAUGUGAAAACUAUGGGCUCAACCCAUAGCCUGCAUUUGAAACUGUCAGGCUGGAGUGCAGGAGAGGAAAGCGGAAUUCCUAGUGUAGCGGUGAAAUGCGUAGAUAUUAGGAGGAACACCAGUGGCGAAGGCGACUUUCUGGACUGUACCUGACGCUGAAGCACGAAAGCGUGGGGAUCGA